AUAUUAAUAAAUAUACUUGAGCAAAGUUAGAAAGAUAUUCACAGAUUCCAACUUCUGGGAUCAAUUACUCUAUAGCGAAAUGUUAUUAAAUCA